rnacentral:ncRNA from 1 species
UUGUUUGGUUGUCCCGAUCUAUCGGGGCUGAAAAGGGAAGCCGGUGAGAGUCCGGCGCGGUCCCGCCACUGUAACUGGUAACCCCGCUUUCCACGGAAGUGGAGCCACUGCCCCGAAAAUCGGGAUGGGAAGGCGAAAUGGGGUGCAAAUGCCAGAAGCCAGGAGACCUGCCAACAGC